rnacentral:rRNA from 1 species
UUGCACGCUGGCGGCAUGCCUUACACAUGCAAGUCGAACGGCAGCACGGGUGCUUGCACCUGGUGGCGAGUGGCGAACGGGUGAGUAAUACAUCGGAACAUGUCCUGUAGUGGGGGAUAGCCCGGCGAAAGCCGGAUUAAUACCGCAUACGAUCUACGGAUGAAAGCGGGGGACCUUCGGGCCUCGCGCUAUAGGGUUGGCCGAUGGCUGAUUAGCUAGUUGGUGGGGUAAAGGCCUACCAAGGCGACGAUCAGUAGCUGGUCUGAGAGGACGACCAGCCACACUGGGACUGAGAAACGGCCCAGACUCCUACGGGAGGCAGCAGUGGGGAAUUUUGGACAAUGGGCGAAAGCCUGAUCCAGCAAUGCCGCGUGUGUGAAGAAGGCCUUCGGGUUGUAAAGCACUUUUGUCCGGAAAGAAAUCCUUGGCCCUAAUACGGUCGGGGGAUGACGGUACCGGAAGAAUAAGCACCGGCUAACUACGUG